GAAAUGCGAUAAGUAAUGUGAAUUGCAGAAUUCAGUGAAUCAUCGAAUCUUUGAACGCACCUUGCACCCUUUGGUAUUCCGAAGGGUACGCCCGUUUGAGUGUCAUUGUAAUCUCACAUCAACAACUCUUGUUGUGGAUGGUGGAAUUGGACGUCUGUCGUGUUACACGACUCGUCUGAAAUGUAUGAGUGUACCCUGCCUUGCAGCGUAUCCAGUGUGAUAAGCAUCUUCACUGGUUUGGCCUUUACCGGCGACGCCUUGGCCACAGGUAGUAUGCUUCUAACCGUCCCUAUGGACAAUAUCUUGACAAUUUGACCUCAAAUCGGGUGGGACUACCCGCUGAACUUAAGCAUAUCAAUAAGCGGAGGAAAAGAAACU
rnacentral:rRNA from 1 species